rnacentral:rRNA from 1 species
CCUACGGGUGGCUGCAGUGGGGAAUAUUGGACAAUGGGGGCAACCCUGAUCCAGCCAUGCCGCGUGUGUGAAGAAGGCCCUCGGGUUGUAAAGCACUUUCAGUGAGGAAGAACGCCUGGUGGUUAAUACCCAUCAGGAAAGACAUCACUCACAGAAGAAGCACCGGCUAACUCCGUGCCAGCAGCCGCGGUAAUACGGAGGGUGCGAGCGUUAAUCGGAAUUACUGGGCGUAAAGCGCGCGUAGGUGGCUUGAUAAGCCGGUUGUGAAAGCCCCGGGCUCAACCUGGGAACGGCAUCCGGAACUGUCAAGCUAGAGUGCAGGAGAGGAAGGUAGAAUUCCCGGUGUAGCGGUGAAAUGCGUAGAGAUCGGGAGGAAUACCAGUGGCGAAGGCGGCCUUCUGGACUGACACUGACACUGAGGUGCAAAAGCGUGGGUAGCAAACAGGAUUAGAUACCCUGGUAGUC